CUGGCCUCAGACUCUUGGUAGCUAUGUGACCCUACUUUCUUCACCUUCAAAAUAAAAGUGACAAUGAAUGCACUACCUACCUCAGUGGGGUAUCGUGAGAAAAAUGCCUUCAAAUCUGAAAGUGACUGUGCAAAUGAGCAGUGAAAUGAGCAGUGAAAUGACCAAAAGGUUAAGCAGAAGAGAUGAAAAAAACC